AGCGAGAAAGCGUUGCCGCAGGCAACGACCCGAAGGGCGAAGCGCACAGCGCUGAGUAAUCCUUCCCCCACCACCA
rnacentral:sRNA from 1 species